CUCUGAGUUGCAUGAACUUACUCCCGGACGCGUUUUUGGAACCACAUACCUCGAGUAAGCAAGGUUUGGGGUUAAUCAACCGAGAGUUCAGGGUUUAGUUCACGAUGUGAGGCGUGAGGAGCUGUGGCCCGAGCAUGGACUCAAAUCACAUGCAGCAUGCACACAAUGCGGAUGAAUUCAGCCUGUCGAUCGCUUCAGCAGCAUGCAAACAUGUUCACACAACAGGUGUUGUUGUUCAGCCAGCCGUACCAUCUCCACCACAAGUGAAGGACCCAUGAAGACAGCAUGUGAAGUGAUCUUUCACACAACUCAAGGACGCCAGCAUCAAAUGCAUCAGCGUUACCAUGCAAGCAAAACUAAUUAGAAAGCUGUCUGCAGGAUUCACAAGCCAAAGGAAGCAUCAACAAUAAGACUGUAUCAAACAGGCCAGUCUAUUUGUUUGGCAUUUGAAGAAUGAAGGCUAC
ensembl:lncRNA